GGCUCAGGAUGAACGCUGGCGGCGUGCUUAACACAUGCAAGUCGAACGAUGAUGCCCACUUGUGGGUGGAUUAGUGGCGAACGGGUGAGUAACACGUGAGUAACCUGCCCUUGACUCUGGGAUAAGCCUGGGAAACUGGGUCUAAUACCGGAUAUGACCUUCCAUCGCAUGGUGGUUGGUGGAAAGCUUUUGUGGUUUUGGAUGGACUCGCGGCCUAUCAGCUUGUUGGUGGGGUAAUGGCCUACCAAGGCGACGACGGGUAGCCGGCCUGAGAGGGUGACCGGCCACACUGGGACUGAGACACGGCCCAGACUCCUACGGGAGGCAGCAGUGGGGAAUAUUGCACAAUGGGCGCAAGCCUGAUGCAGCGACGCCGCGUGAGGGAUGACGGCCUUCGGGUUGUAAACCUCUUUCAGUAGGGAAGAAGCGAAAGUGACGGUACCUGCAGAAGAAGCGCCGGCUAACUACGUGCCAGCAGCCGCGGUAAUACGUAGGGCGCAAGCGUUAUCCGGAAUUAUUGGGCGUAAAGAGCUCGUAGGCGGUUUGUCGCGUCUGCCGUGAAAGUCCGGGGCUCAACUCCGGAUCUGCGGUGGGUACGGGCAGACUAGAGUGAUGUAGGGGAGACUGGAAUUCCUGGUGUAGCGGUGAAAUGCGCAGAUAUCAGGAGGAACACCGAUGGCGAAGGCAGGUCUCUGGGCAUUAACUGACGCUGAGGAGCGAAA
rnacentral:rRNA from 1 species